rnacentral:rRNA from 1 species
GAUGAACGCUGGCGGCGUGCCUAAUACAUGCAAGUCGAGCGAACGGACGAGAAGCUUGCUUUUCUGAUGUUAGCGGCGGACGGGUGAGUAACACGUGGAUAACCUACCUAUAAGACUGGGAUAACUUCGGGAAACCGGAGCUAAUACCGGAUAAUAUUUUGAACCGCAUGGUUCAAAAGUGAAAGACGGUCUUGCUGUCACUUAUAGAUGGAUCCGCGCUGCAUUGGCUAGUUGGUAAGGUAACGGCUUACCAAGGCAACGAUGCAUAGCCGACCUGAGAGGGUGAUCGGCCACACUGGAACUGAGACACGGUCCAGACUCCUACGGGAGGCAGCAGUAGGGAAUCUUCCGCAAUGGGCGAAAGCCUGACGGAGCAACGCCGCGUGAGUGAUGAAGGUCUUCGGAUCGUAAAACUCUGUUAUUAGGGAAGAACAUAUGUGUAAGUAACUGUGCACAUCUUGACGGUACCUAAGCAGAAAGCCACGGCUAACUACGU